CCUACGGGAGGCAGCAGUGGGGAAUAUUGGGCAAUGGGCGCAAGCCUGACCCAGCAACGCCGCGUGAAGGAAGAAGGCUUUCGGGUUGUAAACUUCUUUUGUCAGGGAAGAGUAGAAGACGGUACCUGACGAAUAAGCCACGGCUAACUACGUGCCAGCAGCCGAGGUAGUACGUAGGUGGCAAGCGUUGUCCGGAUUUACUGGGUGUAAAGGGCGUGUAGCCGGGUUGACAAGUCAGAUGUGAAAUCCUGCGGCUUAACCGCAGAACUGCAUUUGAAACUGUUGAUCUUGAGUACUGGAGAGGCAGACGGAAUUCCUAGUGUAGCGGUGAAAUGCGUAGAGAUUAGGAGGAACACCAGUGGCGAAGGCGGUCUGCUGGACAGCAACUGACGGUGAGGCGCGAAAGCGUGGGGAGCAAACAGGAUUAGAUACCCUUGUAGUC
rnacentral:rRNA from 1 species